rnacentral:rRNA from 1 species
AGACCCGAAACCCGGUGAUCUAGCCAUGGGCAGGUUGAAGGUUGGGUAACACUAACUGGAGGACCGAACCGACUAAUGUUGAAAAAUUAGCGGAUGACCUGUGGCUGGGGGUGAAAGGCCAAUCAAACCGGGAGAUAGCUGGUUCUCCCCGAAAGCUAUUUAGGUAGCGCCUCGUGAAUUCAUCUCCGGGGGUAGAGCACUGUUUCGGCUAGGGGGCCAUCCCGGCUUACCAACCCGAUGCAAACUGCGAAUACCGGAGAAUGUUAUCACGGGAGACACACGGCGGGUGCUAACGUCCGUCGUGAAGAGGGAAACAACCCAGACCGCCAGCUAAGGUCCCAAAGUCAUGGUUAAGUGGGAAACGAUGUGGGAAGGCCCAGACAGCCAGGAUGUUGGCUUAGAAGCAGCCAUCAUUUAAAGAAAGCGUAAUAGCUCACUGGUCGAGUCGGCCUGCGCGGAAGAUGUAACGGGGCUAAACCAUGCACCGAAGCUGCGGCAGCGACGCUGAUGCGUUGUUGGGUAGGGGAGCGUUCUGUAAGCCUGCGAAGGUGGCCUGUGAGGGUUGCUGGAGGUAUCAGAAGUGCGAAUGCUGACAUAAGUAACGAUAAAGCGGGUGAAAAGCCCGCUCGCCGGAAGACCAAGGGUUCCUGUCCAACGUUA